GGGGUUGAAAUGGUUUUGACAGCAAGCUAAAUAAGUAAGUAAGCAUACCGUGUAACGUGAGGUAAACACGAAAAUCUAGCGUCACAAAAUAUAACCGGCGAAGAAAACUAUGCUCUUGCUGCUUAAGUAAAAAUUUAAAGCCACGUCGGCAUAAUCUGCCGAAGCAAGAUAUCUCUCAGAAAUUACGCUUUAUAAUUUCUGAUUAAGAGGUACCGUAAAAUAAAGCUAGGAAAGUUAGUUCCUUUGAAAACUUUCUGAAAUUUUCAUUUAAAAGGAUAAUUCCUCAAUAGAAUGCUCCUCUUCUAUUGUAGGUUUCCAAGAGGAGAUAAGUAUGUAGAAAUCUUACAAAUUACUUGUAUGGACGCGGGUUCGAAUCCCGCCAACUCCACAA
rfam:Candidatus Walczuchella monophlebidarum isolate FNIIJ chromosome, complete genome.